GAUGAACGCUGGCGGCGUGCCUAAUACAUGCAAGUCGAGCGAACGGACGAGAAGCUUGCUUCUCUGAUGUUAGCGGCGGACGGGUGAGUAACACGUGGAUAACCUACCUAUAAGACUGGGAUAACUUCGGGAAACCGUAGCUAAUACCGGAUAAUAUUUUGAACCGCAUGGUUCAAAAGUGAAAGACGGUCUUGCUGUCACUUAUAGAUGGAUCCGCGCUGCAUUAGCUAGUUGGUAAGGUAACGGCUUACCAAGGCAACGAUGCAUAGCCGACCUGAGAGGGUGGUCGGCCACACUGGAACUGAGACACGUUCCAGACUCCUACGGGAGGCAGCAGUAGGGAAUCUUACGCGAGGGGCGAAUGCCUGACGGAGCAACGCCGCGUGAGUGAUGAAGGUCUUCUGAUCGUAAAACGCUGUUAUUAGUGAAGAACAUAUGUGUAAGUAACUGUGCACAUCUUGACGGUACCUAAUCAGAAAGCCACGGCUAACUACGUG
rnacentral:rRNA from 1 species